rnacentral:tRNA from 13 species
UGACUAACUCUGUAGAAGGCCAGACUCGAAAUCACCAGGCUUGAGGGUUCGAUUCCCAUAAU